rnacentral:rRNA from 1 species
UACGAAGGGGGCUAGCGUUGCUCGGAAUCACUGGGCGUAAAGCGCACGUAGGCGGCUUUUUAAGUCAGGGGUGAAAUCCUGGAGCUCAACUCCAGAACUGCCUUUGAUACUGAGAAGCUUGAGUCCGGGAGAGGUGAGUGGAACUGCGAGUGUAGAGGUGAAAAUUCGUAGAUAUCCGGAGGAACACCGGUGGCGAAGGCGGCUUCCUGGACCGACACUGACGCUGAGGCGCGAAAGCUAGGGGAGCAAACGGG